rnacentral:lncRNA from 1 species
GACUGAAGAACAUUGAUAAUUUGCUUUCUUAGCCUUGGUCAUUGAGUGUAAUAUCUAAUUUAUAAAAAAACAGACAAGUGUAAUUACUUUGUACAUUUGUAGGAUGCCAACUGAACUUAAGUUUCCUUAGCGAACUUGGUACCAUCUCGUUCUUUUUAAGAUCUCUGCAGGAUCAGUGACAUUGACGGUAUGUUGGUGUGUGAUGAAUGCUCAUGCCUCGUAAUUAAACAGCUCAAUUGCCUUCAUGCAGUAAACUUUUAUUACCAGGACUGGCUGGCAGUUUUUACUUAUCUGAGCAACAGAAGAUAGUUUUCAUUUUGAAUACUUUAUUCCUAUCAAGGUUCAACUUUCUUUUCGAUAGCCAUGCAGUUUUGUGCCUCUAGUGAAAAUCUAAAGAAUGGGUCCUCCUUUGAUGAUGGACCAUAUAGGUCU